GACCGUGAAAAGCCAAGAAAAAUAACGAUCCCUUCUGAGCUGUUAUCAAACAAAGCCAAAUGCCAGAUUUUCUCAAAACUCUUAACUUCUAUACCCCCUUCGUCCAAAUCGCCAUUAACAACCCCAAACAAACUCAACUUCCUUUCUUCCCCUUCUUUUGUUUUCUUUCCCCCCUCUCACUCUCUCCCGCGAAAGUUACGAUUUGCUCCCACUUAACCCACUUAACUCUCUCAAGCGCAAAGCACGCCUUGUUCUCCCUCUCCCCCUUUACAUUUCCAAUAUAUAUUUCGUGAAUAUUAUUU
rnacentral:misc_RNA from 1 species